GGUUCUGCUAUCACUCUUGGAUGGACCUGCGGUGCAUUAGCUAGUUGUAGGGUAACGGCGUACCAAGGCGAUGAUGCAUAGCCGAGUUGAGAGACUGAUCGGCCACAUUGGGACUGAGACACGGCCAAACCUCCUACGGGAGGCGAGCAGUAGGGAAUCUUCCACAAUGGACGCAAGUCUGAUGGAGCAACGCCGCGUGAGUGAAGAAGGGUUUCGGCUCGUAAAGCUCUGUUGUUGGUGAGGAAGGAUAGAGGUAGUAACUGGCCUUUAUUUGACGGUAAUCAACCAGAAAGUCACGGCUAACUACGUGCCAGCAGCCGCGGUAAU
rnacentral:rRNA from 1 species